UCGACGCCGCUGGGUGAUGAACGGCCUUCGGGUCGUAAAGCCCUGUCGGGAGGGUACGAAAUCUGCCGACCUAAUCACGUCGGUGACUUGACGGUACCUCCAAAGGAAUGCACCGGUAACUCCGUGCCACGCAGCCGCGGUAAUACGGAGGGUGCGAGCGUUUGUUCGGAUCACUGGGCGUACAAGCGCGUGUAGGCGGCCCUUUAAGUCCGAUGUUGAAAGCCGGGGCUCACCCCCCGGAAGUGCAUUGGAUACUGAAGGGCUGGAGUAUCCGGGAGGAGGGUGGAACUUCCUGGUGUAGCGGUGAAAUGCGUAGAUAUCAGGUAGGACACCUGUGGCGACAGGCGGCCCUCUGGACGGAUACUGACGCUGAGACGCUGAAGCGUGGGGAGCACAACAGGAUUAGAUACCCUGGUAGUCCACGCUGUAAACUGUGGGCACUAGGUGCUUCGGGGUAUUGACCCCCCGAGUGCCGCAGCUAACGCAUUAAGUGCCCCGCCUCGGGGACUACGGCCGCAAGGCUAAAACUCAAAGGAAUUUACGGGGGCCCGCACCAAGCGGUGGAGCAUGUGGUUUAAUUCGACGCAACGCGAAGAACCUUACCUGCGGCUAGACAACAUCGGACAGCCUCAGAAAUGAGGUUUCCCCGCC
rnacentral:rRNA from 1 species